rnacentral:rRNA from 1 species
UACGUAGGGUGCGAGCGUUAAUCGGAAUUACUGGGCGUAAAGCGUGCGCAGGCGGUUCGUUGUGUCGGCGGUGAAAGCCCCGGGCUUAACCUGGGAAUGGCCGUUGAAACUGGCGAACUGGAGUGUGGCAGAGGGGGGUGGAAUUCCGCGUGGUAGCAGUGAAAUGCGUAGAGAUGCGGAGGAACACCGAUGGCGAAGGCAGCCCCCUGGGCUAACACUGACGCUCAGGCACGAAAGCGUGGGGAGCGAACAGG